UAGGUACUCCCUCCGUCCGGAAAUACUUGUCAUCAAAAUGAAUAAAAGGGGAUGUAUCUAGAUGUAUUUUAGUUCUAGAUACAUCCCUUUUUAUCCAUUUUGAUGACAAGUAUUUUCGGACGGAGGGAGUAUAUA
rnacentral:pre_miRNA from 1 species